rnacentral:rRNA from 1 species
GAUGAACGCUGGCGGCAUGCCUAAUACAUGCAAGUCGAGCGAACAGAUGAGGAGCUUGCUCCUCUGACGUUAGCGGCAGACGGGUGAGUAACACGUGGAUAACCUACCUAUAAGACUGGGAUAACUUCGGGAAACCGGAGCUAAUACCGGAUAAUAUAUUGAACCGCAUGGUUCAAUAGUGAAAGACGGUUUUGCUGUCACUUAUAGAUGGAUCCGCGCCGCAUUAGCUAGUUGGUAAGGUAACGGCUGACCAAGGCAACGAUGCGUAGCCGACCUGAGAGGGUUACCGACCCCACUGGAACUGAGACACGCUCCAGACUCCUACGGGAGGCAGCAGUAGGGGAUCUUCCGCAAUGAGCGAAAGCCUGACGGAGCAAUACCGCGUGCGUGAUGACGGUCUUCGGAUCGUAAAACUCUGUUAGUAGGGAUGAACAAAUGUGUAAGUAAAGCUACACCUCUUGACGGUACCUAAUCAGAAAGCCCCGGCUAACUACGUG